rnacentral:rRNA from 1 species
GUCCUAGCUGUAAACGAUGAGAACUAGGUGUGGGUGGAAUCGACCCCUUCCGCGCCGACGCUAACGCAUUAAGUUCUCCGCCUGGGGAGUACGGCCGCAAGGUUAAAACUCAAAGGAAUUGACGGGGGCCCGCACAAGCGGUGGAGCAUGUGGUUUAAUUCGACGCUACGCGAAGAACCUUACCUGGGCUCGAACGACUGGUUGUAGGAGUGAUGAAAGUUACAACGACCCGCAAGGGAGCCAGCCGAGGUGCUGCAUGGUUGUCGU